GAAUUCAACUCCUACGGGAGGCAGCAGUGGGGAAUAUUGCACAAUGGGCGCAAGCCUGAUGCAGCGACGCCGCGUGGGGGAUGACGGCCUUCGGGUUGUAAACUCCUUUCGCUAGGGACGAAGCUUUUUGUGACGGUACCUAGAUAAGAAGCACCGGCUAACUACGUGCCAGCAGCCGCGGUAAUACGUAGGGUGCGAGCGUUGUCCGGAAUUACUGGGCGUAAAGGGCUCGUAGGUGGUUUGUCGCGUCGUCUGUGAAAUUCCGGGGCUUAACUCCGGGCGUGCAGGCGAUACGGGCAUAACUUGAGUACUGUAGGGGUAACUGGAAUUCCUGGUGUAGCGGUGAAAUGCGCAGAUAUCAGGAGGAACACCGAUGGCGAAGGCAGGUUACUGGGCAGUUACUGACGCUGAGGAGCGAAAGCAUGGGUAGCGAACAGGAUUAGAUACCCUAGUAGUCCAGGCGUU
rnacentral:rRNA from 1 species